rnacentral:rRNA from 1 species
UUCAAAUCGAGUGGCGAACGGGUGAGUAACGCGUGAGGAACCUGCCUCAAAGAGGGGGACAACAGUUGGAAACGACUGCUAAUACCGCAUAAGCCCACGGCUCGGCAUCGAGCAGGGGGAAAAGGAGCAAUCCGCUUUGAGAUGGCCUCGCGUCCGAUUAGCUAGUUGGUGAGGUAAUGGCCCACCAAGGCGACGAUCGGUAGCCGGACUGAGAGGUUGAACGGCCACAUUGGGACUGAGACACGGCCCAGACUCCUACGGGAGGCAGCAGUGGGGAAUAUUGCACAAUGGGGGAAACCCUGAUGCAGCGACGCCGCGUGGAGGAAGAAGGUCUUCGGAUUGUAAACUCCUGUUGUUGAGGAAGAUAAUGACGGUACUCAACAAGGAAGUGACGGCUAACUACGUGCCAGCAGCCGCGGUAAAACGUAGGUCACAAGCGUUGUCCGGAAUUACUGGGUGUAAAGGGAGCGCAGGCGGGAGAACAAGUUGGAAGUGAAAUCCAUGGGCUCAACCCAUGAACUGCUUUCAAAACUGUUUUUCUUGAGUAGUGCAGAGGUAGGCGGAAUUCCCGGUGUAGCGGUGGAAUGCGUAGAUAUCGGGAGGAACACCAGUGGCGAAGGCGGCCUACUGGGCACCAACUGACGCUGAGGCUCGAAAGUGUGGGUAGCAAACAGGAUUAGAUACCCUGGUAGUCCACACCGUAAACGAUGAUUACUAGGUGUUGGAGGAUUGACCCCUUCAGUGCCGCAGUUAACACAAUAAGUAAUCCACCUGGGGAG